UGAUUGCAUUCCAUUACUAGCUUGCAUACACAGCAUCUUACUUAAUUUAUUUGAAAAAUCUAUACAUAUUUGUUUCAAUUUUUAGAAAUCCAAUUUACUCCCAUAUUGGGUUAUCUAGUUGGGCAACACUACUACAGUUAGGGACUUAUUCUGCAAGUCAAGUCAUUGCCGCUUGACAUCAGCCACAUCUCUUCUCCAACUAAUCCGACCUC
rnacentral:lncRNA from 1 species